UACGCACCACAAAUCAUUUAUUCCGUCCUGGAGCGCCGCAUGGGGAAGACAACAGUUUUUGAGCUUGCAAAGUUAAAAAUAUAACCAAGAACUGUACUGUGGUCCAGUCAAGGGGAUUUCUCGACCCCGUUGGGCCAAAUGUUAGAAGACCAUCGCAACCCCCCGAUGAUAACAGGAUGAUGGAUAAGCACAUCUUUAAAAAGAUGCUUAUAAAAACCACAAAGAAUGGAAAAAAACAAUAUUGACCCCUUCGAACUACUUCAAACUGGCCGGCAACCAUUUCAGCGUGUACCCCGCCUCCUGCCCGAUGACAGCUGGGAUAGGCUGCGGCACUCCCCGUCACCCUCUGAGGGUCACCAACAACCUGGCUCAAGACAUGCGGUACAACUGAAUCGUGAGGUACUCGACGCCGAUGUUCAGAGGGACGCCACAUGCAGCGGAGUUGGGUGGAGUGGAGAUGACAUCAAAAUACUUUUUAGGACCUUUGAGCAAGUGCAAAACAAACAGAUCAUUCCCAGUUCUGUCCGGUCGGAUGGUGAACAUUGAUGCACCACCAGAUGCGGUUACAAUGCCCAAUAGAGCAAAGGUCCGGUGCAUUGACUUGAAGGAAUGGAUGCGGUUUAAAGUGAGUUGAAAGUAAA